rnacentral:rRNA from 1 species
UACGGGGGGGGCAAGCGUUGUUCGGAAUUACUGGGCGUAAAGGGCUCGUAGGCGGCCAACUAAGUCAGACGUGAAAUCCCCAGGCUCAACCUGGGAACUGCGUCUGAGACUGGAUGGCUUGAGUGCAGGAGAGGAACGCGGAAUUCCAGGUGUAGCGGUGAAAUGCGUAGAUAUCUGGAGGAACACCGGUGGCGAAGGCGGCGUUCUGGACUGCUACUGACACUGAGGAACGAAAGCCAGGGGAGCAAACGGG